AUGUGCUACAACACCCAAAAUAUAAUUGCUACAGUAACCCUUAUUCACAUCUGUAUCCAUAAUUGUACUUUUUACUUUUCAGUGUACCUUGAGGAACUAUCUCUGAAAGUUACCACCCACUUCUAUCUCUGUGUUGUGUCCUGGCAAAGUCAACAAGAGGAAGAUGAGUCACUUCAUGACAGAACCCGGAGAAAAGUGGUGUUUGGAUCUGAAUCUGAAAUGUCAUGCAUUUUUGGCCAAGUCGCUCGUUCUCAUCUCUUGUGUGAAGUGUGGCACCCAUCUCUGGAUUUCAGGUCCCUGUUGGGUUCUCUCAUGGUACCUGUAACAAUUGACUGCCGUGACUUGCAUGUGUGCUGUGAGCGGCUCAUGGGCACGACUCUUGUCUUAUUCACUCUGGUAUCUCUCUGCUUGGCAUAACGCCUUAGGCAAAGCAGGCAUAAGCACAUGCUCACUAAAUGAAUGAAUGAAUGAAUGAAUUGAACACAUGAUGAUUUCACAUCAACACUUUUUUAUUCUGCUUGAUCUUGUUGGGAAAAGAGCCCUUCACUUGAAAUUAUGCCAGUGAAUAUGACGAUGCUGUAUGUAUAUUAAAGAGGAAAAGCUUUCAAGGGCCUUGUCUUUGAGAAACAGGUUUUGAAUGCAGGUGUGGCUUGAAAGCUGAAUAGAGACUCUCACUUUGCAAAUAGCACAAAUGUGUGGAUGCUGACUCACUUUACUCAGUAGACUCAUUGUACUCCUUAGGUAAUUUUACCCACCUCAGGAAAAUCUACUUUUUCCCUAGGCCUGAAGGUUAUUAUUAGUUGUACUUAUUAUUCAGCAUUUCUACAGUACAUGUUUGCAAAGUACUGUAUUCCUCAUUCUUAAUGAGUGAGGCAGGUGAUAGGUAAUGAAAGGGAAUUUUCUCUAGUUGGCCGAGUAGCUUGUAUUUAGUGAAUUAUCAAUGAUUGACAUACUGAAGUCAAUUGGGGAUGGCUGGUGCAAACUUGUGGGAAGUAAGCCUCCCCUACUUUUACAAGGAGGAAGAGUGUAGGCAGGGAGUGAAGUAGAAGACUGUGAAGGCUGGAGAGGGAAGGGAGAAGGAAUUCCUCUCCAAUGGGAGUGAAGCAAGUUCUGAGUCUCUGCCCCAUUCAGCAAUUCCCCAGGUAUUCUGGGUUAUAUACACAUCGUUUAUUUACCUUGUGAAGCAAUAGAUUCCUUGGGGUUGGAGCUUUGUUUCUCAAGAGCAAAUAGUUUGGGGUCUACUUUUAUGAGUUUUGUGUUCAGUUUUCAGCUUUCUACUUAACAGUUUUCCUAACACCUUGUUCUAAAGCUUGGAAAACUACUAUGCUCAGAAAAAGUUGUAGGAAUUCAUAACAUGAAAGUGGAGUCAUGAAUAUCCUCAUGGGAAGUGUUGCAGUUAGGGUAGGGUGACAAAGAAACUGCUGAUCCUAAGGGUCCCAAGCGGGAGGACAUGGAUCCCUUAGCCCCUAUUUCUUGGAAACCUCACUUCUCCCUUGAAGCCCCACUCAGUGACUCACUCUGGCCAGGUCAGUGGAGAGAUGAGGAGUGCUAUGAGGGUGAGGAUUGGGAAUUGGUAUUGUUGGCUUAGGGAAGAACAAUGUAUGAGGUCCUUGGUGAGGAUUCACUCAGUUUUCGCAUCCCUCAUUCUUAUGACAUUUGAGAAUUUUGGUCCUAUUGGGCAAUGAUGACAAAUAGUCGUGUGGAAUGCAGCUUAGAAAAAAGGAAAAUUGAGAGGAUAAAAAUAGAAACUCUCUCUCACAGUGGAGUGAACCAAGUGUGGAAAUACUGUGGAAAUGUCCUGCCUUACCCUCAAACACUUACCUCCUCAUGGGCCUGGUAGCUCAGCCUGAGCCACACAUGAAAGUCACUGGGGAGGCAAAAUAACCAGCCUGGUGCAGCAAAGCAGCAAGGCAGAUUUCUCUCCUGGGUACACACUCAGAUCCUGCUGUGAUAGAGUGUUAGGGAAAUUAAAUAUAAUAAUGUCUGUAAAAGCUGCUGACACAGAGCCUGGCACCCAGCAGAUGCUGAGAACAAAGUAGAUUUCCUUCCCUGCCAUGACAUCGUAAGCUCUUGGGAUGGGUAUCUCUGAUAAUGGCCUCAUGCUAUCCAGAUAUUCUACACAUCUGAAGAUGUGGAAACUUGGACCCCCGAGCCUUCCAGACUCUCCCAUUCUGGUUAGGUGAGUCAUAGGGUUGAUCUCAGUUUCUUCAUUUGCAACAUAGUAUGGCACCAAGGGAUAAUUUUAAGGCCUGAAUGAGGAAACAGCUUAUAUCAUUUUCUCAUAAAAUGAUUGGUCUGGAUUUCAGCUUGGAAGGGAUCCACGAGCUCUUAAACACAGAGGGAUAGCUGCAAUUUUUGUUUGGGCAAGGAUUAUCUCAGAGACACUUGACUUAGGCUUUCUUCAGAAAUACCCUACCAACUGCUCAUAAAUAUUUUGCUUGAGGGGAAGGGGGAAAAAUAAGAACCAAGAGAGAUUAUGUAAAUGUGCAAAUUUCCAAUGAUGCAUGUAAUUAUAUUGUAUACCUAAAAUGUACCAAUAAAAUAAAAAUUAAAAAAAAUAUUUUGCUUGAAACUGAACUCGGAGGGCAACUUGGAGUUUUUGAUUCCAACUCCUCUCCUCUCCGUCAACUGUUUUCACUGUGCCACGAAAGUUCUCACCCUUUGUGACACCCAGGACCGGACAAUAUGACCUUCCUCAUGUCCUUGGCCUAAAGGCAAGUCCCCCAGGCCACCUGGGCUUUCCAAAGCGCCUUAUCCAUCUCCUGUGCUGUACACUUCAUUAUUUCAUAUUCAAUCUUUCCUUUGUAACUAGUUUCUUCUUGCCAGCUUUAAGGCACAUAAAAGACUCCCACAGACGGUGAGGUGAGUGAAGACUCUUCAUGUAUCCCAACAUUUCCUUUUCCUCAAGCCAUUACAUUCUUUCCUCUUCACAGAAACUUCUAGAAAGAAUAUCCACACUUGCAAACACUGCUUAUUUGUUUUCUACUUACUCCUCAGGUUACUGUCAGACCAGUUCCUGCCUCAUUGGCCAAUAGAACAGUCUGUAGCAGGAUCAUUCACCUUCUUCGACCUCUUGGCAAGAAUCUCUACUGUUGACUCUUCCUCCUCCAACUCUCUUUCUCUCUGUAGUGCUGGGGGAUUGAACUUAGGAUUUUUUGUAUGGUAGGCUAGCACCCUACAACUGAACUACACUCAACUCAAAUGCUGACUUUUCUUGGUUGCAGUGAUAUAAGACUCUUCUGGUUUUGCCCAUUGUAUAGCUUUUAUGCAGCUUUGUCCUAUUCUUCCCAGGUAAAUGAAUUAAGAUGAUCAUGGCUUAACCAUAGAUUCUCUUCUCUUCUUAUUCUGUCAUUGAUUUAUGGCCAAAAUGUUUCCCCAGCUCAAGUCUCUCCUAUGAGCUCUAGACUCACAUAUCCCACUUCCUACUCAACAUCUCCACUUAGGAGUCUCACAGACAUCAAAACACAGCACAGCCAAAAUCAAACUCUGGAGUUUGCUUCCAAACCUCUUUAUGUUCUCAGCUCACUGGAAGGCAUUAUAGCCAUUGCAGAGCAGGCUGGAGCAUGGAGUCACCAUGACAUUUCCCUCUGCUUUGACCUUCCUAUUCAUUCUCUGAAUCCACUCUUCUUACUUCCCCUUCUGCCAUGUGGUCUAAUAUCGCCUCCUGUACAAGCCUUCUUAUUACUCUGUCUGUGACCAUUUUAAUUUGUAUUUCCCACAAUGUACCUAGAGCGAUCCCUUCAUUUGAUCUUCACACUCCCAUUUCCUAUUCUAAAUGAAAUGUUUGAAGUGUUGGAAGCCUUCCCAUUAUUUUAAGAUACAAUAUUGCUUAACAUGAACACAAGGCCCAGAGUCUCUCCAGCUUUAUCUGAACCAUGCUCUACCUUGCUCCCUUCACUGCACCCAGGGACCUUCACCCAGUUCUUUUUUCUCACCACACUUCUUCUCACCCAAGAAUUUAUUCUCUGCGCAAAAUGUCCUUCUUCCUCUUUGUCUUGUAACUUCAUCCAUGCCCCACCCUUUGUAUAGGUGCCAGGACCUCAAAUUGUUAAAUGAUUUAUGUAUCCAGUGCCACUCCGGAGCCUACUUCCUAUUAUUCUUAUUUAAGGUAAUGAAACCUACAAGAGGUUCUCAGUAACCUUUGAGCACUUCCUCCUUUGGACUAUAUUCCUCUCUCCUGCAAUAAUGUUAUUAUCAGGAUUCUAUACAGGAGUGCAGGUUUAGGUGAAAAGACAGUACCACCUGAGAAAGGGUGCACUUUGAUCUAGAACAGUGAGAUCAUGGAAUUGGAGAGAACUCUUUAUAAUCAUUUAGUUUAAUUUCUUAAGCAGAGCAGAGACCAUUUCCAUACCAUUUCUAACAGAACAUAAUAAUAUAGUAUUUCCCUUUUAUCUGCACUUUCAGCUUUCCCCAGUUUCAGUUACCUGUGCUCAAAUUAGGUCUAAAGAUAUUAAAUGGAAAAUUCCAG
rnacentral:lncRNA from 1 species